rnacentral:lncRNA from 1 species
UUAACCUUAAACAUCCAUGAAAGAAACUUUAUAUCGUGCGAGUAUAAUACAAAUCUUUUAGCUUUAGUUUGAGGAAAUUCUUUUAUUAUGUAAAUUUAAAACUAUUUUUUAAAUGAAAAUUUAAAAUAAAAUAGCCUUUGAACUCAUAAAAUCCACCUUUGUAAAAGCUGGCAUGUGGAUCAAAAAAUAUGGGGGCACAAAAGCAGUUGUCCCUGGCAAUGAUAGGCUAUCAACAGCCCAUCCCCAUGCAGAAUGACUAACCUGCUAAAAUCAUUCUUAUCAACUUAUACAAAUAAGCAGAUAGAGUUCUAAUCAAUUGCCAGCAUUUCCAUGUAUUUUUUUUUCUUGGGACCUGAAUAUUUAUCCAUACUUUUUUCCUCUCUAUUUUGUAGAAGAGUCUGGGAAUAAUUUAGCUAGAGAUUCCUUAUUCCUUUGGAAACCAGGGCUGCAAACUUGUAUUUUAAAGCUGUGAAAAAUGUAAUGUAUUAUAAGCACUGAAAUUUUUGUUCAAGUUGAUAUUUUCAAAACGAAGUUUCCAUUGUAGUAAAAACUUUCCAUCGUGAGGUAGCAAAAUGUCAUUAUUUGUAAUAAGCAAAAAAGAGAAGCCUUUGUUUUGGCUUAAAAUUCAAUACAAGUAGGUGGGAUCAUUCUAAAAUGCAUGGAAGUAGCAUUCAACAAAAUAUGCUGGUAAUGAUGGUGCAAUGAAAUUCCCUACAUGAGGAUCAGUCAAUCAGCCAUCUCAUCUCUGUGUCUUGCUUUCCCUGCUGCAUGAAUGCAGACCAUCCAUGAAACCAGCUCCCACACCAUUAUAGUGGACUCUUUGUAGGCUGUUUGUUGGGGCGGGUGUGUAUAGCGAGAGAUGUCUAUGCAUUUACACCAGUGUGUCGGUGUUCAGUUUAGGUGCAUGCCAUACAUUGCUGCUGCCACAGAUGGAUAUGCAAGAGCAGAAAAUGCAGCUGGAGGGUUUCAGAUGCCUCAGUCCAGUGAGCCCUGGGCGUUUCCCAGGUUCAUGUCGUUGCAGAACCCCUGCAAGGAAUACACUCCUGAUUGUUUUAUUUACAUCCUACAAGGAAGCUUCUUCAGACCCACACUUGCUGCUUCAUUUCAUCAUCAAGUGCUACCUGCAAACUCUGGAAGUGAAGCCAUGUUAGGUGGAAGCUUGGGCACCACUUAGAAAGGCUUGGCCAUUGCUGGAGGAGCUCAGUCAUGGCCUGUGUGAUGACGUGCAGAGGACAUAGGCUGUGGUUACCCUCUUGCUCUCUGGAAGUCACUGCAUGGAAAGCACCUGGGGACCCUCAUGUUCAGAAAAAUGGCAAGAGAAGUCAAAACUAACAUCCAAGAAAUGCUAAUAAAGCAGAAGAAACCAAAGCAAUCAGAAGCUAGAGGGCACAGAUCUCAUGACUGCUACCCUGAAAAACCUGCUGUGUGCCAGACCCAUCAGUGUGUGAGGCUGAAUGGUCAUCCUUCUGGUGGAAUGCAACUGUAAACUACUCCAAAAGCCAAUCUUGAAGCCACAGUAUGUAGUUGCUGAAGUCCAUAGAACCAUUGGCUGUAAUGCUGUUCCUGUGAGAAAUGGUGCAAUGCUCAAGAGCUAAUGAUCGAAAAGGACCCAGCCAGUGCAGUGAUAAGGGAACAGAUGUAGAUACUAAGGAAAGAAAUGUUAUAAUUGGUGCUUUUCUGCAUUAACAAUAAUGUCCUCAUCCAGCGUUCCCUCAUAUACCUGGAAUUAAGAUACCAGAUGCCCAGUGUGUCAAAGUGAGACUCACAGGAUACAGGUGUGAGGUGAACUGACAUUUGCUUGGUGGGACCCAGCUGUGUGGUCUCCUGAAGAAUACUUUCAUGUCUGUAAAAGUGUAGCAUAAUACAUUUUGUCAGUGGACAACAGAUAAUUUGGAGUAUAAUUUAUAGUGGUUUUACUUCCCUUUAGUUUUUGGCUUAUAUAAAAUGCCGUGUUUAUUUUCUUGAAUAUUCAUUUCAGCUGUACAUACGAUUAAAAAUAAUGAAUGGUUAUUAAUUUUUAUCAU